rnacentral:piRNA from 1 species
UUCAAAAAACCUGCGAUAAUU